rnacentral:rRNA from 1 species
UCUGGCGGCGAUGGCGGAGAGGCCACACCUGUUCCCAUGUCGAACACAGCAGUUAAGCUCUCCAGCGCCGAUGGUAGUUGGACUGACGUCCCGCAAGAGUAGGACGCUGCCAGGCU